GGUGGCUCAGUGGUAGAGAGCUUGCCUGGCAUGCAUGAGGCCCUGGGUUCAAUUCCUCAGCACCA
rnacentral:tRNA from 1 species